UGGAUAGCUCAGAUGGUAAAGGACGAGGCUCUUCAUCUCAGCGUUAUGGGUUCGAGCCCCACGUUGGCAAAA